ACCGGACUCCUACGGGAGGCAGCAGUGGGGGAUAUUGCACAAUGGGGGGAACCCUGAUGCAGCGACGCCGCGUGGGUGAAGAAGCGCCUCGGCGCGUAAAGCCCUGUCAGCAGGGAAGAAAAUGACGGUACCUGACUAAGAAGCCCCGGCUAACUACGUGCCAGCAGCCGCGGUAAUACGUAGGGGGCAAGCGUUAUCCGGAUUUACUGGGUGUAAAGGGAGCGUAGACGGAAAGGCAAGUCAGUAGUGAAAGCCCAAGGCUCAACCAUGGGACUGCUUUUGAAACUGUCAAACUAGAGUACGGGAGAGGUAAGGGGAAUUCCUAGUGUAGCGGUGAAAUGCGUAGAUAUAAGGAAGAACACCAGUGGCGAAGGCGGAUGACUGGACGGCAACUGACGGUGAGGCGCGAAAGCGUGGGGAGCAAACAGGAUUAGAUACCCCUGUA
rnacentral:rRNA from 1 species